rnacentral:rRNA from 1 species
AACGUAGGAGACAAACGUUAUCCGGAUUUACUGGGCGUAAAGGGCGUGUAGGCGGUUAGUUAAGUCUGGCGUGAAAGCUCUCGGCUAAACCGGGAGAGGUCGUUGGAUACUGGCUGACUAGAGGAAGGUAGAGGCGUGUGGAAUUCCCGGUGUAGUGGUGAAAUGCGUAGAGAUCCGGAGGAACACCAGUGGCGAAGGCGACACGCUGGGCCGUACCUGACGCUAAAGCGCGACAGCAUGGGGAGCAAACGGG